AUUGAACGCUGGCGGCAGGCCUAACACAUGCAAGUCGAGCGAGCGGCGGACGGGUGAGUACUGUCUGGGAAACUGCCUGAUGGAGGUGGAUAACUACUGGAAACGGUAGCUCAUACCGCAUACCAUCAGAUGUUCCCAGAUGGGAUUGGCUAUUAGGUGGGGUAACGGCUCCCCUAGGCGACGAUCCCUAUCUGGUCUGAGAGGAUGACCCGCCACACUGGAACUGAGAAACGGGCCAGACUCCUACGGGAGGCAGCAGUGGGGAAUAUUGCACAAUGGGCGCAAGCCUGAUGCAGCCAUGCCGCGUGUGUGAAGAAGGCCUUCGGGUUGUAAAGCACUUUCAGCGGGGAGGCGUUACCCGAAGAAGAAGCACAGGCUAACUCCGUGCCAGCAGCCGCGGUAAUAC
rnacentral:rRNA from 1 species